GUCAGUUGUACCGGAAGUCGGUGUUUCAACCCGCAAGGGAGAUAGCCGCCGAUGGUAUGGCUGGUGACUGGGGUGAAGUCGUAACAAGGUAGCCGUAGGUGAACCUGCAGAAGGAUCA
rnacentral:rRNA from 1 species